rnacentral:rRNA from 1 species
UACGGAGGGUGCAAACGUUGCUCGGAAUCAUUGGGCGUAAAGCGCACGUAGGUGACCUGUUAAGUCGGGUGUGAAAUCCCUGGGCUCAACCCAGGAAGUGCACUCGAAACUGGCAGGCUUGAGUACUGAAGAGGGUCGCGGAAUUCCCGGUGUAGAGGUGAAAUUCGUAGAUAUCGGGAGGAACACCAGUGGCGAAGGCGGCGACCUGGGCAGAUACUGACACUGAGGUGCGAAAGCGUGGGGAGCAAACAGG